GAUGAACGCUGGCGGCGUGCCUAAUACAUGCAAGUCGAGCGAACGGACGAGAAGCUUGCUUCUCUGAUGUUAGCGGCGGACGGGUGAGUAACACGUGGAUAACCUACCUAUAAGACUGGGAUAACUUCGGGAAACCGGAGCUAAUACCGGAUAAUAUUUUGAACCGCAUGGUUCAAAAGUGAAAGACGGUCUUGCUGUCACUUAUAGAUGGAUCCGCGCUGCAUUAGCUAGUUGGUAAGGUAACGGCUUACCAAGGCAACGAUGCAUAGCCGACCUGAGAGGGUGAUCGGCCACACUGGAACUGAGACACGGUCCAGACUCCUACGGGAGGCAGCAGUAGGGAAUCUUCCGCAAUGGGCGAAAGCCUGACGGAGCAACGCCGCGUGAGUGAUGAAGGUCUUCGGAUCGUAAAACUCUGUUAUUAGGGAAGAACAUAUGUGUAAGUAACUGUGCACAUCUUGACGGUACCUAAUCAGAAAGCCACGGCUAACUACGUGCCAGCAGCCGCGGUAAUACGUAGGUGGCAAGCGUUAUCCGGAAUUAUUGGGCGUAAAGCGCGCGUAGGCGGUUUUUUAAGUCUGAUGUGAAAGCCCACGGCUCAACCGUGGAGGGUCAUUGGAAACUGGAAAACUUGAGUGCAGAAGAGGAAAGUGGAAUUCCAUGUGUAGCGGUGAAAUGCGCAGAGAUAUGGAGGAACACCAGUGGCGAAGGCGACUUUCUGGUCUGUAACUGACGCUGAUGUGCGAAAGCGUGGGGAUCAAACAGGAUUAGAUACCCUGGUAGUCCACGCCGUAAACGAUGAGUGCUAAGUGUUAGGGGGUUUCCGCCCCUUAGUGCUGCAGCUAACGCAUUAAGCACUCCGCCUGGGGAGUACGACCGCAAGGUUGAAACUCAAAGGAAUUGACGGGGACCCGCACAAGCGGUGGAGCAUGUGGUUUAAUUCGAAGCAACGCGAAGAACCUUACCAAAUCUUGACAUCCUUUGACAACUCUAGAGAUAGAGCCUUCCCCUUCGGGGGGGCAAAGUGACAGGUGGUGCAUGGUUGUCGUCAGCUCGUGUCGUGAGAUGUUGGGUUAAGUCCCGCAACGAGCGCAACCCUUAAGCUUAGUUGCCGUCAUUAAGUUGGGCACUCUAAGCUGACUGCCGGUGACAAACCGGAGGAAGGUGGGGAUGACGUCAAAUCAUCAUGCCCCUUAUGAUUUGGGCUACACACGUGCUACAAUGGACAAUACAAAGGGCAGCGAAACCGCGAGGUCAAGCAAAUCCCAUAAAGUUGUUCUCAGUUCGGAUUGUAGUCUGCAACUCGACUACAUGAAGCUGGAAUCGCUAGUAAUCGUAGAUCAGCGUGCUACGGUGAAUACGUUCCCGGGUCU
rnacentral:rRNA from 1 species